GAGAGCAACAAACUCCUUUGGUCAUGAGAUGAGCUUCACUUCACUCCUGUUGUUUCCAGUCACCACAGAAACCAAAGUGAAGGGGUGGACAUAUGGAUGCUUGGGUACCUGUCUAAUACAGCAUCAAGAUAGAGCUGUAGCUUAUACCCAGACCUGGUUAACUCACUUUAUGGUUCUCAUGACCUGAAUCAAAAAAUAGCUUUAAGAUGGCUGAAUGGAUACUCCUCUAGUGAAUUGUUUUCUAUAAUUCAGAACCUGGAAUGCU